rnacentral:rRNA from 1 species
UACGGAGGGUGCGAGCGUUGUCCGGAAUCACUGGGCGUAAAGGGCGCGUAGGCGGCGCGGGUAGUCAUCGGUGAAAGUUCAGGGCUCAACUCUGAAUCGGCCGGUGAUACUCCCGUGCUCGAGCACUGUAGAGGCAGGUGGAAUUCCCGGUGUAGCGGUGGAAUGCGUAGAGAUCGGGAAGAACAUCAGUGGCGAAGGCGGUCUGCUGGGCCGUUGCUGACGCUGAGGCGCGACAGCGUGGGGAGCAAACAGG